GCGAGUUCUUAAUGGAGAAGCACCGUUAUUGCAUUGAACUGACAGCUCAGGGAUUCCGUGUGGUGGGUUAUGACUACAAUCAAAUAAAUGUAGCAUCUGACGACUACUUCGAAACCCCAUACGCUUUGCUUGACAAACUAAACAUAGUUUCGAC